AUACGUAAAGCUUGUUCUCUCUUGUUAAAAGAGUAUUUAUUCCUUCUUCUGUUUUAAUAUUUUAUAUGUCGUGCCUUUUGUCUUAAAAGGUAUGAGCUUUUUUUUUUAAUCUCCAUUUAAAGACAAAAUGAAUAUUCUUAAAUCGCAGUAGUUACAGUAUUAGAUUUGUUAGUAGUAAAGGUACUUGUUCUUUUUUAGUAUAAACUCAUCA